GAGAAAUCUGCACUGAUAAAUCAAAGGCAAAAAAGAUGCCAGAUUGUGCCAGGGAGCUCGUGUUGUAGGUCAUCCAUCUGAUCCAGUGCCGUUCUGCACUGGGGACUGCCAUCCGACAGUAGGGCCAUGACCCUGGAGAGUGUAACCAUCAUCAUGGUUAUAUUAGUGUUACUGGCAUUUUAAAAGACAUCCUGGAACAUUCCUUUGGAGCUUCAUAGCAGUCUAAUGAGCAGAACAGGCCCUAAGUAGGUGCUAUUAAUAUUUUCAUCACAAAUGAUGGGACAGAAGCAGAUUUUGAGCAACUUUCUAGAAAAUGCAAAGAUACAAAGCAGAGGAACUGGGAGUCUGUUUUCCAAGUCUAAAAUGCUGACUGCUCUACCUUGCAACCCUUUACUUUCUUCCAGAAUGUGCACUGGUGGACGUUACAGGAAGUGUCUCCAGAUGCCAGAGCACUCUGACAACACAAGACAGCAACAGAUCAACUGUGGCCAGGACCACUGUGCCAAGAAGUCAGCGACAUUCCCUGUUAAGACUCUUACUUUGAUUAGGAGCUACUCCUAGAAAGAAAAUUCUGACACUGAUUUUGAUGGCUGAAGGAUGAUGUAUUAUCUGUGCCCUUAACGGUCCCAAAUUAAGCAAGAUGGGAGACUUCUAAGUUUGAAGAAUCAUCCCAAGGCCACAGUUUUAAUAAAUAAAUCUAAUUCUAAAAUCAA